UUCGGACAUGUUAAUCGGUUCAAACGGUUCAUUGAAAGAUCCGAACUGUUCUUUCGCAUCGCGGGAAUUUCUACCCAGGUUAGAUGUUGGAAAUUCCCACCGCAUCUGGACAAAAGGCUAUGUCAGGACAAAGUAAAGAAAGGAAAUCGGCACACACAUCGGCUGACACAGCUGUAAUAAAUUCCGACAGAAGCAGGACUAACAUUUUUCUUGUCCUGGACAUUCGCAGCGAAUCAUGCCUGGGAUAGGCUUUGUGAAGAUCUACUUUAUCGGAACCGCGCUAUCCCUUCUGGUGGCUCUGUUUGGACUGGUUGAUUCAGUCGGGGGUCUGAUGUAUCCACAAGGAUCCGACUGGGCAGACGACAGCUGGACAGAAAAACAAUCGCCCGGGUCUCCUCCUUCAAGGACCGCUGCCGCCGCCAACAACAAGCGCAUCGGAUCGAGAUGAUCUGGAUCUUAUCCAUUAAUUUGUCAUGGAUUCGGUGGCGAGUCUUUCAUUUCACUAUUGGAUAUGUAAAGUAAUACACAUCGGUGUAUUAAGGUUACUGACCUAUUAUCUAAUAUGGAAUUGCUUCCUCCAUUACAAAAGGCUACUGUGCGCUGUGUGAAUCAUGUGAAAUAUGAGUCGAUAUGAAGAACACCAUGAUAUUGUCCACUGGUACUACAAAUAAGAUAUCUAUACUUCACCUUUUUUGCUUGUUGUUCUGGUUUCUGCAGAGAACUUUAUGAAAAAAAAACACUUGUGGCAGUAAUGAGAGGUUGAAAUCUUAAUAUGGUAGCUACAUGAACAUGCCAGACUGCUGUAAAAUAUUGAAAUCCCCAGUGAUCAAAUCUAUUUUUAUGUUUUUAAUGUGUUACAUCGUUUACGGUUUAUGCCUAUAUGAAUAAUGACAAAUGGAAUGGUAAAAUAGUUUUUGUUUCUCAUAACUAGUAGGCUAUACUGACAUAUUGGCCUACUGUGUUCGCCAUGAUGAGGCAGAUUUGUUUUUAUUUUGUUUUUUAAAAAUGUUUUCUUUUUUUCUUGCAUUUAAGGAGGGUCUGAAAGAUAUGGAAAAUGUGUUACUGAAACUCUGUUUUAACUGACUAAAAUACAUUCAUUAGCACUAUUUAUCUUUUUUAUGCAUUAAAUAUUGGCUAAAUUUUAAA